rnacentral:ncRNA from 1 species
GGUCAAGUUAAAAAGGGCGCACGGUGGAUGCCUUGGCACUAGGAGCCGAUGAAGGACGUGACUAACAACGAUAUGCUUCGGGGAGCUGUAAGUAAGCUUUGAUCCGGAGAUUUCCGAAUGGGGGAACCCGGCUAUCCUAAUCGAUAGUCAGUUAUAUGUGAAUACAUAGCAUAUAACAGGUAAACGCGGUGAACUGAAACAUCUAAGUAGCUGCAGGAACAAAAAGAAAAUUCGAUUCCCUAAGUAGCGGCGAGCGAACGGGGAACAGCCCAAACCAGGAUGCUUGCAUCCUGGGGUUGUAGGACUGGACAUUGGAGUUACAAAAAUUUGGAUUAGC